UAUAAGGCCUUUCCAAAUUGGGGACCUAAAGCCUUUACUUGGGUGAGCAAAUAUCAACCGAACCAAAUAACCGAAUCGAAUCGAAAUGAGUUCGAUUUUUUCAAUUCAGUUAGUUCAGUUUUUUGAUUAAUUCGGUUAAGAUAGUUUGGUUAGUUACAUUAUUUCGGUUUAGUUUCGGUUAGAAAAUUUUCUAACCGAACUAAUCGAAGGGCAUUAUAGACAUUUUACAUAAAAAAAUCCUAAACCUAAAUGCUAAUCUCAUCUCUUUGUUUGGUUCCUCUUCUGUCGUCCCAUCUCCACUCUCCAAACUCUUCAAUCUCCACCGUCUUCUCUUCUCAUUCUUUCAUUCGUCUUAUCUCCACUCUUCGGUCUCCAGUCUCUACCCUCUUCUCUUCCCCUUCUCUCAUCUUUAACAAGUUGCUGCCAUCCUUCACCUUUCCCACAUCAAAUGGUUUCUUGGCCUUUUUAUUUGUUAUUCAACACCAAAAAGCAGAAAGGCCACUCAACAAGUGAAAGCUGGCAGACAAAAAUGAAAAGGCUUUUAGCAGAGAAAGUUUACCUUUGAAACGUGUAAAUGCCAUGGAAGAUUCCUAUUUGCUGCAAAGUGCAACCAUUGUUGUGUUCUACUUUUGGGUCACAGAAAUGAACUAGAACAGAGCUGGACUUGCAACAAGAUGAGUGUUAAAGUGGUUGACCAAAAGAAAAGAGCAGAGGGAGUGAAAGUGGGGGGUGGGGGAAGCCAUGCUUAAGUUGAUAUCUUGAAGGAACCUUGAGGGUACAACUAUGAUUUUUUUUUUUUGAAAGCAAUCGGUCUUUGUUUCUUUGGUACUUUGUACCAAGAUGUGGGAACUUUGUAGCUGUCUUUGUUUUAGUUAAUGCAAAUCCUUAUUUAACCAAAAAAGAGAAGUACUCUAAGCAAUAGAAACUCUUACUCUAUUCACUUUUU